rnacentral:rRNA from 1 species
ACGACUCUCGGCAACGGAUAUCUCGGCUCACGCAUCGAUGAAGAACGUARCAAAAUGCGAUACUUGGUGUGAAUUGCAGAAUCCCGUGAACCAUCGAGUUUUUGAACGCAAGUUGCGCCCGAAGCCAUCUGGUUGAGGGCACGUCUGCAUGGGCGUCACGC